rnacentral:rRNA from 2 species
UACGAGUGGUGCAAGCGUUAUUCGGAUUUACUGGGCGUAAAGGGUGUGUAGGCGGCAAAUCAAGUCUAUUGUUAAAGAUCUCGGCCUAACCGGGAAAGUGCGAUGGAAACUGAUUUGAUAGAGAUUGGAAGAGAGAAGUGGAAUUCUCGGAGUAGCGGUAAAAUGCGUAGAUAUCGAGAGGAACACCGAUGGCGAAGGCAGCUUCUUGGUCCACAUCUGACGCUGAUACACGAAAGCGUGGGGAGCAAACAGG